UACGGAGGGGGCUAGCGUUGUUCGGAAUUACUGGGCGUAAAGCGCACGUAGGCGGCUUUGCAAGUUAGAGGGGAAAGCCCAGGGCUUAACCCUGGAAUUGCCUUUAAAACUGCAUCGCUAGAAUUGUGGAGAGGUAAGUGGAAUUCCGAGUGUAGAGGUGAAAUUCGUAGAUAUUCGGAAGAACACCAGUGGCGAAGGCGACUUACUGGACACAUAUUGACGCUGAGGUGCGAAAGCGUGGGGAGCAAACAGG
rnacentral:rRNA from 1 species